GUUUAGCAUCAUAGGUUCACUAUACACAGUCUCUUGUACAGUACAGCUCUUAACAGACUCCCAAAAAUUUUGUGAAGAGUUACAUUCAGAAUUGUGACCAUGACUGUGGGAAAGAAGGGGGGCGGCCUAGUUAUGGUGUAGUUGAUCCACCUGGAGAUGGUGAGACGCCUUCAGAAACCAGCUCUGAUAACCAAAACAUCAGGAAGAUGUACAUUUCCUUGAUGAUCCAGCUUUCUGUCACAGUUUCCUUCAUGGUUAUUUGCAUUUACUG
ensembl:processed_transcript